GCUGUGAAGAUAAAGAAUUUUUGGUGCAGGCCAUGAAGAUCAAGAAUUUUUGGUGCAGUGUUGAAGGCAACUUGAAGAUAUAGUACUAGAUUUGUUUUCCCUAAUUUUUUAUCAUUAGAAAAUAUACAAGUAUGACACAAAUAUACUUAUCAUUGUGUCUAAUUUUUUAAGUAAUUGGAUGUUCACAUAUUAUUACAUAAUUGAAUUAGAUGAACGAUGAAUUGUAUGUAUAAUUAGUAGCCUUUAAAAAUAUUGAGAAUAAAAAAUACAUUACAAG
rnacentral:lncRNA from 1 species